rnacentral:rRNA from 1 species
UACGUAGGCAGCAAGCGUUGUUCGGAGUUACUGGGCGUAAAGGGUGUGUAGGCGGUUGUUUAAGUUUGGUGUGAAAUCUCCCGGCUCAACUGGGAGGGUGCGCCGAAUACUGAAUGACUAGAGUGCGGGAGAGGAAAGUGGAAUUCCCAGUGUAGUGGUGAAAUACGUAGAGAUUGGGAAGAACACCAGUGGCGAAGGCGGCUAUCUGGACGGUUUCUGACGCUAAGACGCGAAAGCGUGGGGAGCAAACAGG